rnacentral:lncRNA from 1 species
ACUUCUUCCAAACUGUUAAUGGUGACAUUCUGACCUCCUCCCAUGAAUCCUGAAUGGUCUUAACAGCAUCUAAAAUGAUGAUAGAUCCAUGAUGCAUAGUUACAGGAUAUGAGAAUUCACUGUGAAUCCCCCAACCACUGAGGAUGGUAUCACGAUGAGCAACGACCAUGCAGUCCCAUGAAAUGUCCCUCAGCAUCACAACCAGCAGCUCAUCCUGUCCUUUCCCUGCUCCAGCUAUGGAAUCUACCAUAUCUCCAAAGAAUCCUGGAAGAGCCUCUCCUGAGACAAAAUCAUAUAUCAGAAAACUAAUAAGACAGGAAAUUUAAGUACACGUUGAAAGAAAAAGAUACUUUGUUACACGAAGCUGAAGUCAGUGAAACUUGUAACAAGGCAGGCUCAAACAGAGGUACCAACUACAGAAUCUCGCCCUGUCGCUCAGGCUGGAGUGCAGUGGCAGGAUCUUGGCUCACCGCAAGCUCCGCCUCCCGGGU